rnacentral:rRNA from 1 species
GACGAACGCUGGCGGCGUGCUUAACACAUGCAAGUCGAACGAAGUGGCGAACGGGUGAGUAACGCGUAAUCAACAUGCCCUUCAGCGGGGGACAACAGUUGGAAACGACUGCUAAUACCGCAUACUGAAGGAGGGGAUUGCGUCUGAUUAGGUAGGUGGAGGGGUAACGGCCCACCAAGGCGAGGAUCAGUAGCCGGUCUGAGAGGAUGAACGGCCACAUGUGGACUGAGACACGGGCCGGACUCCGACGUGAGGCAGCAGGGGGGAAUGUUCCGCAAUGGACUAAAGUCUGACGGAGCAACGCCGCGUGAGGGAUGACGGCCUUCGGGUUGUAAAGCUCUGUUAGUCGGGACGCGGUACCGGAAUAGAAAGCCACGGCUAACUACGUGCCAGCCGCCGCGGUAAUUC